rnacentral:rRNA from 1 species
GUUGAACGCUGGCGGCAUGCCUAACACAUGCAAGUCGAGCGGCAGCAUGAUCUGGCUUGCUCGCUUGAUGGCGAGUGGCGCACGGGUGUGUAAUACAUCGGACCUUGCCCUGUAACUGGGACUAACUAGUCGAACGAUUACUUAAUACCGCAAACGACCUGAAGCUGAAGGUUGAGGACUGCAAGACGUUCUUGUUGAGGAGCAGACGUUGAUCCGUGCUGCAUUAGCUAGUUUGAAAGGUAACGGCUUACCAAGGCAACGAUCAGUAGCCGAGCUGAGAGGACGAUCAGCCACACUGGGACUGAGACACGGCCCAGACUCCUACGGGAGGCAGCAGUGGGGAAUUUUGCACAAUGGGCGAAAGCCUGAUCCAGCAAUGCCGCGUGUGUGAAGAAGGUCUUCGGGUUGUAAAGCACUUUUGUCCGGAAAGAAAUGGCGCUGGUUAAUACCUGGGGUCGAUGACGGUACCGGAAGAAUAAGGCCCGGCUAACUACGUG